CUAAUUGUAAUUGGAAGUUAGAUUCCAGGGUGCGACGAAUAGAUGAGGCCACAGAACAAUAGUUUGUAUCCUAGUUGUAGUAGCUUCACACCUUUGUUUACUAUCCUAGCAUACAUGAUUCUUUAAUUUGGGAGCUUGCACUCAAUGGAUGUUUUUCUGUCAAUGGAUGUUUUUUUGUCAAGUCCCUGUACCAAGAAGUAAGC
rnacentral:lncRNA from 1 species